GGUUAAGUGAAGAAGGGCGCACGGCGGAUGCCUUGGCACUAGGAGCCGAUGAAGGACGGGACAAACACCGAUAUGCUUCGGGGAGCUGCACGUAAGCUUUGAUCCGAAGAUUUCCGAAUGGGGGAACCCAGCCAUCUGAGAAGGUGGUUGAUCAGUCGUGAAUACAUAGCGGCUGAUCGGCAGACGUGGUGAACUGAAACAUCUCAGUAGCCACAGGAAGAGAAAGAAAUUUCGAUUUCCCAAGUAGCGGCGAGCGAACAGGAAAGAGCCCAAACCAGCGUGCUUGCAUGCUGGGGUUGUAGGACCGAUGUAGUGAGUGAUAAAAGAAGGAAUUAGGCGAACGGCCUGGGAAGGCCGGCCAGAGCGGGUGACAGCCCCGUAGCCGAAAGUUGCUUCUCUCCAAUCGGGAUCCUGAGUACGGCGGAACACGUGAAAUUCCGUCGGAAUCUGGGAGGACCAUCUCCCAAGGCUAAAUACUCCCUAGUGACCGAUAGCGAACCAGUACCGUGAGGGAAAGGUGAAAAGCACCCCGGAAGGGGAGUGAAACAGUACCUGAAACCGUGUGCCUACAAGUAGUCAAAGCCCGUUAAUGGGUAAUGGCGUGCCUUUUGUAGAAUGAACCGGCGAGUUACGUUAGCUAGCGAGGUUAAGGCAGAAAAGCCGGAGCCGGAGCGAAAGCGAGUCUGAAUAGGGCGAGUGAGUUAGCUGAUGUAGACCCGAAACCAAGUGACCUACCCAUGACCAGGUUGAAGGUGCGGUAAAACGCACUGGAGGACCGAACCCACUUAUGUUGAAAAAUGAGGGGAUGAGUUGUGGGUAGCGGUGAAAUUCCAAUCGAACUUGGAGAUAGCUGGUUCUCUCCGAAAUAGCUUUAGGGCUAGCCUCGGAAAAGCGGAUACUGGAGGUAGAGCACUGUUUGGAUGAUGGUCCCGUCUCGGGAUACUGAAUGCAGAUAAACUCCGAAUGCCAGAUAUUUGUUUCCGGGAGUCAGACUGCGAGUGAUAAGAUCCGUAGUCGAAAGGGGAACAGCCCAGAUCACCAGUUAAGGUCCCUAAAUCCAUGCUAAGUGGAAAAGGAUGUGAAGUUGCACAGACAACUAGGAUGUUGGCUCAGAAGCAGCCACCAUUUAAAGAGUGCGUAAUAGCUCACUAGUCGAGUGACUCUGCGCCGAAAAUGUACCGGGGCUAAGCAUGGUACCGAAACUGUGGGUGCGACCGCAAGGUCGUGCGAUAGGAGAGCGUUCUAAGGGCGGUGAAGGCAGACUGUGAAGACUGCUGGAGCGCUUAGAAGUGAGAAUGCCGGCAUGAGUAACGAAAAGGCAGGUGAGAAUCCUGCCCGCCGCAAGACUAAGGUUUCCUGGGGAAGGUUCGUCCGCCCAGGGUUAGUCGGGACCUAAGAUGAGGCCGAAAGGCGUAAUCGAUGGCCAACAGGUGGAGAUUCCUGUACCGAUCUGUUAUGUUUGAGCGAAGGAAGGACGCAGGAGGCUAAGGUGAGCACGCAGCUGGAAAAGCGUGUCCAAGCACUGAGUCUGGGAGCGAGUCAAAUGCUUGUUCCUAAGG
rfam:Lactobacillus harbinensis DSM 16991 NODE_30, whole genome shotgun sequence.